rnacentral:rRNA from 1 species
CGUAGGUGGCAAGCGUUGUCCGGAUUUAUUGGGUUUAAAGGGUGCGUAGGUGGCCCUGUAAGUCAGUGGUGAAAUAUCUCAGCUUAACUGAGAGGGUGCCAUUGAUACUGCAGGGCUUGAGUACAGAUGAGGUAGGCGGAAUUGACGGUGUAGCGGUGAAAUGCAUAGAUAUCGUCAAGAACACCGAUAGCGAAGGCAGCUUACCAAGCUGUAGCUGACACUGAGGCACGAAAGUGUGGGGGAUCAAACAGGAUUAGAUACCCUGGUAGUCCACACUGUAAACGUUGAUGACUCGAUGUUGGCGAUACACAGCCAGCGUCCAAGAGCAAUCGUUAAGUCAUCCACCUGGGGAGUACGCCGGCAACGGUG